rnacentral:rRNA from 1 species
CCGCACGGGUGAGUAACACGUAUGCAACCUGCCUGCCACAGCCGGAUAAUCGGGAGAAAUUCCGUCUAAUACGGCAUAAUGCAUCGACGGGACAUCCUGUUGGUGCCAAAGGUUAAUUCCGGUGGCGGAUGGGCAUGCGUCGCAUUAGUUAGUUGGCGGUGUAACGGACCACCAAGACGACGAUGCGUAGGGGUUCUGAGAGGAAGGUCCCCCACACUGGUACUGAGACACGGACCAGACUCCUACGGAAGGCAGCAG